rnacentral:rRNA from 1 species
ACUCCUACGGGAGGCAGCAGUGGGGAAUAUUGCACAAUGGGCGCAAGCCUGAUGCAGCCAUGCCGCGUGUAUGAAGAAGGCCUUCGGGUUGUAAAGUACUUUCAGCAGUGAGGAAGGUGGAUAUGUUAAUAGCAUAUUCAUUUGACGUUUAGCUGCAGAAGAAGCACCGGCUAACUCCGUGCCAGCAGCCGCGGUAAUACGGAGGGUGCGAGCGUUAAUCGGAAUUACUGGGCGUAAAGCGCAUGCAGGUGGUUUGUUAAGUCAGAUGUGAAAGCCCGGGGCUCAACCUCGGAAUUGCAUUUGAAACUGGCAAACUAGAGUACUGUAGAGGGGGUAGAAUUUCAGGUGUAGCGGUGAAAUGCGUAGAGAUCUGAAGGAAU